ACUUCCACAUCCAUAAUGUGACAAAAUUGUCUAUGCAUUGUAGGUUACGACCACGGACUCCAUAGACAGAUUGCAAGGACUGGAGGAACACUCACUAUGUGUGACCUUGGGAAUAUAUCUGCCGUUAUGCUCUUUUUGACAGGAUACCCAGACUGAUAAACCAUCAGUAAAAUGUCAGCUUCCACUGAAGGGAAGACAGAGGAGAAAGAGAACAAAUGGCAGGAUUUUUAGAAUUUCCAGAAGACCAUUACAUCACUCUUCAGCCUUCUCUUCCACAUAAAAAAAA